rnacentral:tRNA from 1 species
AGAGCUGUAGUGUAGCGGCCAAGCAUCGGGGACUUUGAAUCCCUGGACCGGAGUUCAAAUCUCCGCAGCUCUACCA